rnacentral:misc_RNA from 1 species
GGAAGUAAAAGCCGUAACAAGGUUUCCGUAGGUGAACCUGCGGAGGGAUCAUUACAGAGUUCAUGCCCUACCGGGUAGAUCUCCCACCCUAUGUUAUUAUUACUUUGUUGCUUUGGCGGGCCGUUAGGCUCCGGCCCGACUACCGGCCCCGGCUGGUAAGCGCCCGCCAGAGGACCCAAAACCCUGAAUAUUAGUGUCGUCUGAGUACUAUAUAAUAGUUAAAACUUUCAACAACGGAUCUCUUGGUUCUG